rnacentral:rRNA from 1 species
CAGCUCUUCAAGUGGUCGGGAAUUUUAUUGGGCUUAAAGUGUCCGUAGCCGGUUUGAAAAGUUCCUGGUUAAAUCUGGUAGCUUAACUAUCAGUUAGCUAGGAAUACUAUCAUACUAGAGGGUGGGAAAGGCUUGGGGUACUCCAGGGGUAGCGGUGAAAUGCGAUAAUCCUUGGGGGACCACCAGUGGCGAAGGCGCCAAGCUGGAACACGCCUGACGGUGAGGGACGAAAGCCAGGGGAGCGAACGGGAUUAGAUACCCCAGUAGUCC